GACAUAGGAGGCCGUUAAGAUAGCCAAGGAGACUGCCUGACACCUCAUAGAGAGCGAGUGUCGAUCAGAAACAGAUCGACGACCCUCGAUCACUGCACUAAGAAGCAGGCAAGUCAUCCUUGGCUACUCAACUAUCCCUCCCAUUU
rfam:Spinacia oleracea cultivar SynViroflay scaffold31816.con0002.1, whole genome shotgun sequence.